UACGUAGGUGGCAAGCGUUGUCCGGAAUUAUUGGGCGUAAAGCGCGCGCAGGCGGUCCUUUAAGUCUGAUGUGAAAGCCCACGGCUCAACCGUGGAGGGUCAUUGGAAACUGGGGGACUUGAGUACAGAAGAGAAGAGUGGAAUUCCACGUGUAGCGGUGAAAUGCGUAGAGAUCAGGAAGAACACCCGUGGCGAAGGCGGCCCACUGGGCCGGUACUGACGCUGAGGCACGAAGGCGUGGGGAGCGAACGGG
rnacentral:rRNA from 1 species